UCGUUGUGUGUUUUUGUUAUCCUUCAUUUUUUUGUCCUCAAGUUUUAUUGACCUGAUGAGUGAAACGCUUUUCAACUGAAUUUUAUAGUUAGGGGGUGGUUAGACGCAAAGCAAAUAAGUUUUAACCCGUCGUAUUCUGUGUGUGUGUGUGUUUCAAGUUAGGAGCUGUACAUCAGUGGUUGUUAUAUGUUGCUUUAUUCUUGUUUUUUUCGUUUAUAGUUUUGUGCAUAUAAAUAGGAAUCUGAUGUACAGUAAUUGUCGUCUGUUUAUGUAGUUCAUACGUGUUUCUCGUUUUUAUAUAGAUUAGACCGUUGGUUUUCCCAUUUGAAUGGUAUUACAUUACUAAUUUGGGGUCCCCUUAUAGCUUGCUGUUCGGUGUGAGCUCCGUGCUGAAGGGCGUACCUUGACCUAUAAUGGUUUACUUUUAUAAAUUGUUAUUUGGAUGGAGAGUUGUCUCAUUGGCACUCAUACACCAUCUUCCUAUAUCUAUUGUCAUUUGAACUGAUCUACAUUAUUUGUUGGCAUUUCUCUGCCAUCUUUGCUUCAUUUUGCGGUUUGGGUAUUGCUUAUUUUAGAAGGCCGUGCGGUGGCUUAUAGUUCUGAAUGGUUACUUUUUUUUUAUUCUCCAGUAAAGAGAUGUCUCAUUGACAAUUAUACCAAUUGUUCUUAUUUUUUUUUUUAUAAAAGUGAAACAAAACAGAAACGCCUACCGUGUAAAGCAAACCAGGAAGCUUAAUAUAUAAACAAUAAUAGUAUGAGUGUACAGCUAAAAUAU
rnacentral:lncRNA from 1 species